CCUACGGGUGGCUGCAGUGGGGAAUCUUCCGCAAUGGACGAAAGUCUGACGGAGCAACGCCGCGUGAACGAAGAAGGCCUUCGGGUCGUAAAGUUCUGUUGUUAGGGAAGAAUGUGCUUCUUGUAAAUAAUGAGAAGUAAUGACGGUACCUAAAGAGGAAGCCACGGCUAACUACGUGCCAGCAGCCGCGGUAAUACGUAGGUGGCGAGCGUUGUCCGGAAUUAUUGGGCGUAAAGAGCAUGUAGGUGGGAAUGUAAGUCUGUUGUUAAAAUGCG
rnacentral:rRNA from 1 species